CCUCCACCAAUCGGAAUGUGCAGGGGCGGGGCGCCGACCAAUCGGGCGUGGAGGGAAGGGCCGGGCGAGGCUCAACCUGGCGGCUGGAGUUUAGUCCUCGCGCUGCAGUGGGUGAAGCUGUGUCUGUCCCAGGGCUCUGGCGGCCGCUGUCGUUUCGGGAUCCUGAUCGUGAUGGGGACAAAGGCGAAAGCCGGGAAGAAACAGUUGCUUCUCUUCACAUCAGUGAUUCUGUGCUCCCUGGCAUUGGGCAGGGGCGCAGUGUACACUUCUGAACCUGAAGUCAAAAUUGCUGAGAAUAAGUCCGCCAAGUUGCCCUGCUCCUACUCGGGCUUCUCUUCUCCCCGUGUGGAGUGGAAGUUUGCCCAAGGUGACACCACCAGCCUUGUUUGCUAUAACAACAAGAUCACAGGUUCCUAUGAGGACCGAGUUACUUUCUCACCUAGCGGCAUCAGCUUCCAAUCUGUGACCCGGAAAGACACGGGGACAUAUACUUGUAUGGUCUCUGAUGAGGGCGGCAACACCUACGGGGAGGUCAGCAUCCAGCUCACUGUGCUUGUGCCUCCAUCCAAGCCUACAGUCAGCAUCCCCUCCUCUGCCACCAUCGGGAACCGGGCAGUGCUGACCUGCUCAGAGACUGAUGGUUCUCCACCCUCUGAAUACACCUGGUACAGGGAUGGGGUACAGAUGCCUACGGAGCCCAAGAACAACCGUGCCUUCAUCAACUCUUCCUAUACCCUGAAUCAGAAGACAGGGGAGCUGGUCUUUGACCCCGUGUCGGCCUCUGAUACUGGAGAAUAUUCUUGUCAGGCGCAGAAUGGGUAUGGGACACCCAUGAGGUCAGAUGCUGUGCGCAUGGACGCUGUGGAGUUGAAUGUGGGGGGCAUCGUGGCAGCUGUCCUCGUAACACUCAUUCUCCUCGGAUUCUUGAUUUUCGGCAUCUGGUUCGCCUAUAGCCGAGGCUACUUUAACAGAGCAAAGAAAGGGUGAGUGAGGUGUUGUCCUGGGGCUCUCUGAAGUUGAGAACAUGGAUGCAUGUGGUUUGAAGCUGAGAUGGGCCCAGGGGUAGGGGUUGGAGGUGAAGGCAACCAGCAUGGUAGGGAAGACAUCUGGAUUUCUACCCCUAUUCACUGUGACUCUGUGCCUGUCCUGUGUCCCUCCACCCAUGCCUCCCUACUGAGAACUCUGUGCUUCUAUAAAGUUCUCAAUUCUGGCCUCUAAAGUUGGCAAGCAGAGGUUAAGGAGAGGUUAGGAGACUGAGCGUCUCCGUCUUCUGGCUUGUCUACAGGACCUCGAGUUCAAGUAAGAAGGUGAUUUACAGCCAGCCCACUGCUCGAAGUGAAGGGGAAUUCAGACAGACUUCGUCAUUCCUGGUGUGACCUGGUCCACCUCAUCUCCUGUCCUCUGUGCUUGCCUUGCUCAGGUGCUACCAGACUCUGGCCCCUGAUGUCUGUAGUUUCACAGGAUGCCUUAUUUGUCUUCUAGCCCCACAGGGGCCCCCACUUUUAUCUUAGUUAGGAUGUGUUUUUUAAUAAUGUCAGCUACGUGCCCCUUCCUUCUUCAUCUCUCCCUUCCUUUCCCACCACUGCGGAGUGUCCUGGGACUUGUUUAAAGCUUUCAUUCCCCAUCCCUACGUGGGAUCAGGCAGGACUCCUGAGUGAUGUCUGUGGACUUCCAGCUAGACAGCAAGAAUGACAAGCAGUCCCUCCCCUCCUACGUGUAGUGGCCCUCCAGUAGGGAUCUUGAGCCCUGUUCCUUGGCUCUUUCCUCCCAUACUGUGGACUGGUACCAGCUGUUCUGGAGACCACAGCAGCUGAAAUGGUUGUUUGGUGACAACGUCAAGUCUCUUCCGCCUCUGCAGCCCACUUUCUUCUGUCUUCCCAUGGGAAGUGCCACUGGGAUCCUCCUGCACCGUUUUCCCAUCCUUCUCCUGAACAGAAGCAGACUGACACCUACUGUGUCUGUAGGAAAAUGGGGGCUUUUGUUGUGGAGAGCACAGUGAGCCUUCAGGGGACAUGGAGCAGAAUAGUUUUAAAACCGCUGAUCUAAAGAAAAGAAAGCUGGAGCUGGUAGCUCAAGCCAUCACCCUUCCCUUGGCUGGAACAACCAGAUGGAGCCUUAGAAGAUGUGUCUGCAAGGCUGUGGGGAUGUGUGUGGCAGUCUUAGCUCUUUGCUGAGUGUGUGUGUGUGUGUGUGUGUGUGUGUGUGUGUGUGUGUGGUCUUAGCUCUAUGCUGAAACCUAAUGUGUGCUGGAGGGCUUCUUAGCUCUUUGGUGAGAUUGUGUGUGUGUGUGUGUUUCUAUGUAGCUGGAUGUUGCUGGAAAUAAAAACAUGAUUUGUCAAAGCUUCUUGUUGUGGGGGGUGGAGGGAAUAGGUUCCUUGGCUCCUUCUUUGUGCGAACAUAAAAAUGCCUAAAGCCUGCUUCCCCGCAACCUGGGCUGCCCCCCGGCUCCCUGUCUCACCCCUUCCUGGUUCCUGUCUCAUGGUGGAGCUUCUGAACAUUGGACUCUCAUUCCAGAGCCCUCUUGUGGCAGGCCUUCCUCUGCAGGAGGAGGGCACCCUGGGCAAAGCUGUGCUCUGGAAUUCUACUUGGUCUGUUCCACCAUGUCAGAGAGAAAUUGCCCACCCUCCCACCUCUGCCAACCAGAUGCAUUAAAAGACUUCUCUAAAGCUAAGGGAAAUCUGCUCCCGAGCCUGAAGGAAGGAGGAGUUCUUGAAUGUUUUGGAGAACUCCUUUAUAGUGGUGUAAAGUAGUAGCUACUACUUUAUUUAGUGGGGUGGGUGUUUAAGGAGAAUAUAAUUUGAGACCAGGUCAUGAAGUGAUCUGCAUUUGAGACCAGGAGUCAGCAGGGUAGGCCUGCCUGUCAUAGCUCUCCUCUUCCCAUUUGGACCCUUCUUUGCCCUUAAAUUCCUGUUUCCUCAUCUACCACAGUCCCCCAGUCUAUUUAUUAACUAGCAAGAGGGCAAAUAAGGAGUCUUCUAGGGUUGAUUUUGCUUAUUUCUUUCUGUGGAGGAUACUAAAUGCCAUGUUGCUAUAUUGUGUUCCCUUAUCUGGAAAUUCCUCACAGAACUGAGUUUUCUUUUCUAUCAAGGAUCCAAAAAGAAAAACAAAAAACAAAUCAAACCAUCAGUUAAGGGUCAUGCACCAAUAAAAAAUAAAUUUUCCAGAUGGAAAUAAAAUCUAAUUAGACAAUAAAAGUAGAGAUGAAAUGGUUCAGUAAGAAUGAGAUUUUGAAAGUAUGUUUCAGUUCUGUAUCAUGGUUGGGAGACAGGGUAGGAGGGAUAUGGAGAAAAGGCCACAGAGGAGCAGAGGUGAUUCAUUGCUCCUGUAGGUCUGAGGUGAAUGGUUCCUCCCUCCUGAGGUCACUCAAGAUAACUAUGAGUCAGUCCUUACCAGCCUUGGAAUUUACCUCUCCAGUUUAUACAGCCCCUGUGAGUUGGAAAACACCUUGUCUGCUUUCAUUUUAGAAUGUCAAAACUAAUUUUUGUAAUAAAUGUUUAUUUUUCACAUUGA